AGCGAACGCUGGCGGCGUGCCUAACACAUGCAAGUCGAACGAGACCUUCGGGUCUAGUGGCGCACGGGUGCGUAGCGCGUGGGAAUCUGCCCCUUGGUUCGGAAUAACAGUUAGAAAUGACUGCUAAUACCGGAUGAUGACGAAAGUCCAAAGAUUUAUCGCCGAGGGAUGAGCCCGCGUAGGAUUAGCUAGUUGGUGAGGUAAAGGCUCACCAAGGCGACGAUCCUUAGCUGGUCUGAGAGGAUGAUCAGCCACACUGGGACUGAGACACGGCCCAGACUCCUACGGGAGGCAGCAGUGGGGAAUAUUGGACAAUGGGCGAAAGCCUGAUCCAGCAGUGCCGCGUGAGUGAUGAAGGCCUUAGGUCGUAAAGCUCUUUACCAGGGAUGAUUAUAAAUGACUGUAGUCGGAAAAUAAGCCCCGGGCUAACCUUCGUGCCAGCAGCCGCGGUAAU
rnacentral:rRNA from 1 species